AGAGUUUGAUCCUGGCUCAGGAUGAACGCUGGCGGUAUGCUUAACACAUGCAAGUCGAACGGACUCUUCGGAGUUAGUGGCGGACGGGUGAGUAACGCGUGAGAAUCUGGCUUCAGGUUCGGGACAACAGUUGGAAACGGCUGCUAAUACCGGAUGUGCCUUAUGGUGAAAGAUUUAUCACCUGAAGAUGAGCUCGCGUCUGAUUAGCUAGUAGGUGUGGUAAGAGCGCACCUAGGCGACGAUCAGUAGCUGGUCUGAGAGGAUGAUCAGCCACACUGGGACUGAGACACGGCCCAGACUCCUACGGGAGGCAGCAGUGGGGAAUUUUCCGCAAUGGGCGAAAGCCUGACGGAGCAAUACCGCGUGAGGGAGGAAGGCUCUUGGGUUGUAAACCUCUUUUAUCAGGGAAGAACCAAAUGACGGUACCUGAAGAAUCAGCAUCGGCUAACUCCGUGCCAGCAGCCGCGGUAAUACGGAGGAUGCAAGCGUUAUCCGGAAUUAUUGGGCGUAAAGCGUCCGCAGGUGGCUCAUCAAGUCUGCUGUCAAAGGCAGGGGCUUAACCCCUGAAAGGCAGUGGAAACUGGAGAGCUAGAGUGCAGUAGGGGUAGAGGGAAUUCCCGGUGUAGCGGUGAAAUGCGUAGAGAUCGGGAAGAACAUCGGUGGCGAAAGCGCUCUGCUGGACUGCAACUGACACUAAAGGACGAAAGCUAGGGGAGCGAAUGGGAUUAGAUACCCCCGUAGUCC
rnacentral:rRNA from 1 species